GAGUUUGAUCAUGGCUCAGAUUGAACGCUGGCGGCAGGCCUAACACAUGCAAGUCGAGCGGUAACAGAUCCAGCUUGCUGGAUGCUGACGAGCGGCGGACGGGUGAGUACUGCAUAGGAAUCUACCCGGUAGUGGGGGAUAACCUGGGGAAACCCAGGCUAAUACCGCAUACGUCCUACGGGAGAAAGGGGGCUUUGGCUCCCGCUAUCGGAUGAGCCUAUGCCGGAUUAGCUGGUUGGUGAGGUAACGGCUCACCAAGGCGACGAUCCGUAGCUGGUCUGAGAGGAUGAUCAGCCACAUCGGGACUGAGACACGGCCCGAACUCCUACGGGAGGCAGCAGUGGGGAAUAUUGGACAAUGGGGGCAACCCUGAUCCAGCCAUGCCGCGUGUGUGAAGAAGGCCCUCGGGUUGUAAAGCACUUUCAGCGAGGAAGAACGCCUAUCGGUUAAUACCCGAUAGGAAAGACAUCACUCGCAGAACAAGCACCGGCUAACUCCGUGCCAGCAGCCGCGGUAAUACGGAGGGUGCAAGCGUUAAUCGGAAUUACUGGGCGUAAAGCGCGCGUAGGUGGCUUGAUAAGCCGGUUGUGAAAGCCCCGGGCUCAACCUGUGAACGGCAUCCGGAACUAUCAUGCUAGAGUGCAGGAGAGGAAGGUAGAAUUCCCGGUGUAGCGGUGAAAUGCGUACAGAUCGGGAGGAAUACCAGUGGCAAAGGCGGCCUUCUGGACUGACACUGACACUG
rnacentral:rRNA from 1 species